GAGUUUGAUUCUGGCUCAGAUUGAACGCUGGCGGCAUGCUUUACACAUGCAAGUCGGACGGCAGCACAGAGAAGCUUGCUUCUUGGGUGGCGAGUGGCGAACGGGUGAGUAAUAUAUUGGAACGUACCGAGUAAUGGGGGAUAACUUGCCGAAAGGUAAGCUAAUACCGCAUACGCUCUGAGGAGGAAAGCAGGGGACCUUCGGGCCUUGCGUUAUUCGAGCGGCCAAUAUCUGAUUAGCUAGUUGGUGGGGUAAAGGCCUACCAAGGCGACGAUCAGUAGCGGGUCUGAGAGGAUGAUCCGCCACACUGGGACUGAGACACGGCCCAGACUCCUACGGGAGGCAGCAGUGGGGAAUUUUGGACAAUGGGCGCAAGCCUGAUCCAGCCAUGCCGCGUGUCUGAAGAAGGCCUUCGGGUUGUAAAGGACUUUUGUCAGGGAAGAAAAGGUUGUGG
rnacentral:rRNA from 1 species